AUGGCUCAGGAUGAACGCUAGCUACAGGCUUAACACAUGCAAGGUCGAGGGGCAGCAUGGGAUUAGCUUGCUAAUCUGAUGGCGACCGGCGCACGGGUGAGUAACGCGUAUCCAACCUUCCCCCUACUCAGGCAUAGCCCGGUGAAAACCGGAUUAACUCCUGAUAGUUUCACUAGAUGGCAUCUGACGGUGAAUAAAGCUUUGCGGUAAGGGAUGGGGAUGCGUCUGAUUAGCUUGUUGGCGGGGUAACGGCCCACCAAGGCGACGAUCAGUAGGGUUCUGAGAGGAAGGUCCCCCACAUUGGAACUGAGACACGGUCCAAACUCCUACGGGAGGCAGCAGUGAGGAAUAUUGGUCAAUGGGCGCGAGCCUGAACCAGCCAAGUAGCGUGCAGGAAGACGGCCCUAUGGGUUGUAAACUGCUUUUGUGCGGGAAUAAAGUCAGGGACGUGUCCCUGUUUGCAUGUACCGCAAGAAUAAGGACCGGCUAAUUCCGUGCCAGCCGCGGC
rnacentral:rRNA from 1 species